UGCUGGUUCUCUGCUCUUGAAGAUGG
rnacentral:piRNA from 1 species